rnacentral:lncRNA from 1 species
AGAAGGCGGGGGGGGUUGAAUUGCACCAUCUGCAUUGAGCAACUGGGGGAGGAGAAUUCAGGCUGCAAGCCGCCCCCCACCCACUUGUUCCAGCCUAGAUCCAUUAGACCGGGUGUGGGGCGGGGGGGUGGUUCAACUCUCAUCCAGGCAAGCCCGUCCUUGCUCAGCCUGGGGCGGGGGCCCUUGCUGCUGCUGGCUCGGCAUUGGCGGAUCAGUGCUGGGGAGGGGGAGAGGUCGGCUGCAACUGCAGCAGCAGCCCCCAGCCCCCGCGGCCAGGAAGGGGGGGGGUUGGGUGGUGGCGUGGGGUGGGGGGCCGGCCUGCUGCCUCUGGCUGCUCUUGCAUUGGCGGAUGCGGGGAGGGAGGGGGGCAGGAAGCGAGGGAGGGGGGAAGAGCUUCAGUGGCUGCAGCGAGGGAGGGAGAGAAAAGGCGAGCGGGCGCGGGGGGGUCCCUUUCUACAUCGGGAGGGGGGCCGCCAGCGCCGAAGAAGAACCAGCAAAGUUUGCAGCGCGCCCCACAAUCCGAGGCCCCGGCCGGCUCCGCAGCCCCCUGCCGGAGCGCUUUUUUCCCCUUUUUGCAGCGCGGGGGGGACCUCGGGACUGCCGGCCCCCCCUCCUUCUUUCCCUCCCCCCCCAGGGGUGAAAGUGCAAGAGGAAGUACAGCCGCUGCCAUCUUUCCUCCGCUCCAAACACACACACACACACACCGAGGGAGGGGGACGGGCGGGCGGACGGACGGAGCGUGCCGGCAGCCCCCGAAAACUUCCCACCGACGGCGGCCAAGAGAAAAAGACAGCCGGAGCCACCACCGACGCCGCUUCCUCGUCGUCCAGCACCACCGGCAGCAUCGACAGCAGCUUCCUCGGCGGUCCCGCUCCCGCUGCAGCGCCUCGUGGCGGCCGCGAAGGAACUCGCCCGGGGGGAGAGGCGAAAAGGGGCUGCCUGCCUGCCUGCGCGCCCGCCACGGCUGCUUCUGCUCCGGCGGCCUCUGGGCGCUCUCUCUCUCUCCCCCCCGCCGUCGGCCUUUUGUUCUUCCUGACUUCGCUUUCUCUUCCAAUCUUGCAAUUGUAUUUGGGAUUUGCAUUGCAACAACCCCCGCACGGGGCCGCCUUCAUCUCCAUCUCCUCCUCCUCCGGUUCCUGGGCGCGCUCGCGCACACACGGCGCCGUCGGGGCCCGGGGAUUUUCUGGAAGGCGCGAGGCGGAGCGCGUGCGCCAUUCUGGUUCCCCCCCCCUCCCUUUUCUUUUUGCAUUCCGCCCAUCCUCUCCCUCCUCCUCCCCCGCUUGA